GGCAACUUUGUGAAAGAAGCAUCGCCAUUGAUAAGUUGGAUUCAGCAUAUUGAAACAUCAUUUUGCACUACAAUUUAAAUUUGUUACCUAGUUAGUGUUUGAAAAAUCUGCAGGAAAGUUAGUUUUGGGAUAUACUCAACAAGCAAUAAUGUUGCUGCAGACCCGGACAAAAAUGCUGGUGCUCCCUAUGCUAUUUCAAUACGUGAAAACAAGAUUUGGUUAAGUAUUCUGAAGACUUCAGUGUGGAAAGGAUUGAGUGCUGCGAACAAUCCCAAUUCUCCAUGGUGAAUGGAUGAUUAGAUUUUGUUGCUCCGGUCUUUACCUUAGUGUGUUUAAUUGACUUCAUAUAUUUACAGCUGAUGCAGUGUUUCCUGUAUAUACUAUGUA